UCACAUUCUGAGGUACUGGGGGUUAGGACUUCAACAUACCUUUCUUUUGGAAGCCGGCACAAUUCAAUCCAUAACAUUCAUCAAACGAUGAUCGAAAAAAUAAAACGUGGGAUAGCCACAUAAUGGAAUAUUAUUUGCCCAUUAAAAAGGAAUGAAGUGCUACAACAUAGAUGAACCUUGAAAACAUUAUGCUAAGUGAAAGAAACCAGACACAAAAGGACACAUAUGAUUCCAUAUUAAGUGUCCAGAAUAGACAAAUCUUUUUUAUUUAUUUAUUUGAGACAGAGUCUUGCUCUGUUACCCAGGCUAGAGUACAGUGACGCAUUCUUGGCUCACUGCAACCUCCACCUGCCAGGUUCAAGCAAUUCUCCUGCCUCAGCUUCCCAAGUAGCUGGGACUACAGGCAUGCACCACCAUGCUUGGCUAACUUUUGUAUUUUUUAGUAGAAACAAGUUUUCUCCAUGUUGGCCAGGCUGGUCUCAAACUCCUGACCUCAGGUGAUCGACCCACCUCGACCUUCCAAAGUGCUGGGAUUACAGGCGUGAGUCACCACGCCUGGCCCAGAAUGGGCAAAUCUAGAGAGACAGAACGUCGCACGUUAGUGGUUGCCAGGGGCUGGGGGAGGUGAGACUGGGGAGUGACUGCCAAAAGGUACCGGUUUCUUUUAAUAGAGGACAAAAGUAUUCUAAAAUUGACUGUGGUGGUGGUUGUACAAGUCUGAAUAUACUAAAAAUUAUUGAAUUUUACAUCUUAAGUCAGUAAAUUAUAUGAAUUAUAUCUCAAUGAAGUUGUGAUAAAAUACAAAACAAUCUCUCAUGAGCUAGCAGAAAUCAGCUUUCUACAGUUGCAUCACCAUAUUCUGAAACUUUAAAACAAGGUCAGAAUCUGGACCCAUCAGCGUCCCCAUCUCCAAGUGGGCAUUCCAUGAGGUCCUGCCCAGAAGAGCCACAUGGUGUCUACUUUCGACAUCUCUUAACUGUUGUUUGUCCAUCCAACAAGCAUUAAUGUGUCAAGUGCCAGAUUAAAAUAAAUAGCACAUGGUUUCUCACCCCAGAGAACCCACAGUCAAGUGCCACGAGGUGUUACUUCUCUAAGGGUAAGGACAGAAUAUAGUAAUAAUCGCAUCCUUAUACUACAAGACAAAUGAAGAAUUUAAAGGCAACUGGGGAAUAUUCUUCAGCCUUAAAAGGAAAUUCUGACACAUGCUACAACGUGGAUGAACCUUGAGGACAUUCUACUAAGCCAGACACAAGAAGACAAAUACUGCAUGAUUCUACCUAUACGAGGUAUCUAGAGUAAAUUAAUUGACACAGAAAACAAAAUGGUGGCCGGGUGCAGUGGCUCAUGCCUGUAAUCUUAGCACUUUGGGAAGCCAAGGCGGGUGGAUCCUUUGAGCCCAGAAGUUCGACAACAGAGUAAAACCCCAUCUCUACAAAAAUACAAAAAAAUAGCUGGGUGUGGUGGUGCACACCUGUACUCCCAGCUAUGCGGAAGGCUGAGGUGGGAGGAUCGCCUCAUCCCGGGAGGUCAAGGCUGCAGCGAGCCAAGAUCAUGCCACUGUACUCCAGCCUGGGUGAUAGAGUAAUGCCCUGUCUCAAAAAGAAAGAAAACAGAAUGGUGAUUGCCAGGGGCUGGAUGAAAGGGGAGUUACUGUUUAAUGUGUACAGAGUUUCAGUUUUCUAAGAUAAAAUGAGUUACGGAGGUGAAUGGUGGUGAUGGUAGUACAUUAUUAUUAAUGUGUUUAGUGGCACUGAACUAUACACUUAAAAAUGGUUAAGAAUUUUUUUUUUUUUUUUUUUUUGAGACAGAGUCUCGUUCUGUCACCCAGGCUGGAGUGCAGUGGCUCAAUCUCGGCUCACUGAAACCUCUGCCUCCCAAGUAGCUGAGAUUACAGGCAUGUGCCACCACACUCAGCUAAUUUUUGUGUUUUUAGUAGAGAUACGGUUUCACCAUAGUGGCCAGGCUGGUCUUGAACUUCUGACCUCAGGUGAUCCACCC
rnacentral:lncRNA from 10 species